rnacentral:rRNA from 1 species
UACAGAGGGUGCGAGCGUUAAUCGGAAUUACUGGGCGUAAAGCGCACGUAGGCGGCUUGGUAUGUCGGGUGUGAAAUCCCCGGGCUCAACCGUGGAAUUGCUCCCAGUACUGCACUGCUCGAGGGGGAUAGGGGUCUGCGGAACUACCGGUGGAGCGGUGAAAUGUGUUGAUAUCGGUGGGAACGCCAGUGGCGAAAGCGGCAGACUUGACCCUUCCUGACGCUGCAGCGCGAAAGCUAGGGGAGCAAACGGG